AUUGAACGCUGGCGGCAUGCUUUACACAUGCAAGUCGAACGGUAACGGGUUAAGCUGACGAGUGGCGAACGGGUGAGUAAUGCAUCGGAACGUGCCCGAUCGUGGGGGAUAACGCAGCGAAAGCUGCGCUAAUACCGCAUACGAUCUGAGGAUGAAAGCGGGGGACCGUAAGGCCUCGCGCGAUCGGAGCGGCCGAUGUCAGAUUAGGUGGUUGGUGGGAUAAAAGCUUACCAAGCCGACGAUCUGUAGCUGGUCUGAGAGGACGACCAGCCACACUGGGACUGAGACACGGCCCAGACUCCUACGGGAGGCAGCAGUGGGGCAUUGUGGACAAUGGGCGAAAGCCUGAUCCAGCCAGGCCGCGUGCAGGAUGAAGGCCUUCGGGUUGUAAACUGCUUUUGUACGGAACGAAAAGACUCUUUCUAAUAAAGAGGGUCCAUGACGGUACCGUAAGAAUAAGCACCGGCUAACUACGUGCCAGCCGCCGCGGUAA
rnacentral:rRNA from 1 species